CCGGCGCCUAGGUCUGCAGCCCCUACCUACACGAGAUGCUGCUCGUAGCUGCUACCGGCGACCACGUUCUCGAGCUCCUGCUGCCGGCCACAACUCCGUGCUGCUGAUGCCAACCAUCUCCAGCUCAAGCUGCUGCUGCCGGAGAAGUGGAUGGUUCGGACAGUUUGGUGGGAAACUUCUCAAGCGCCGGUCCAGGAGCACCUUCUUCUGUUCUGUGAACCGACUUCAUCGUAAGGUCAUGUUCCUGUUCUGAUGCCCUUUUUGUGCACCUAGGAUUCUGGUCUCGUGUACAUUUGUAGCUGCAUCUUUUAUUAGGUACAAGAAGUCAAUUUGAUCUCAUUUUAUGUGGCAGGGCAGAUGGUCUCGGAAAUGGCUGCGGCUGAGCAUGUGAAGUUGGAGCCAAGGAGAUUGUAGGCGUAGCUGUAAGUUGUUGAUAUGCUGCUGCUGCUGUCGGCGUCCAGCACGCCCUGCUGCCCCUGCCUUCUUCGAUUGGGAUGUCUCCUACAGUACUGGGUCACCCUGAAGUGGAGUGUGCCGCCUGGAUGCACUGGGAGGGGCAGAUCUGCAGCCUAUAUAUGCCUGGGUUUCUUGCAACGUCCAGUUGUAGUCUUCUGGCAUGAUUCUUGUAUCCAAAGUAGGAAAAGGCUUUAAAAGUUGCUCAAUUUGCUGCUGUA